rfam:Heligmosomoides polygyrus genome assembly, scaffold: HPBE_scaffold0004209
ACGCCGGUGGUGUAAUGGCGUAGGGCAUUCCCGCCCGGUCAGAGGGAGGUGCGGGUUCGAGUCCCGCCUGGCGCU